UGUUUUCACACAGCUAUCUACCAGAAACCUUCAGUUAAUAGGCUCAUUAUUCCAAGGUGGAUAAAUGAUCCUAUUAAAUAUAAAAGAGCAGCACUGGAAACAUAUUUUAGACGCGCAUACAGAACAAGCUAAAAAAGCAGAGGAACAAAAGAUCUAUGUGGUAGCCAUACAGCAUGGUUAUUCAAUUCCAUUCAUUAAGGAUAUACAUAAGAAAAUCAAAUGGAUAUAUGAGAGAACCCAAUUUGCUAUGAUAAACCCCAGCCAGGCCAUUCAAAAGAACUUGAAGAACCCAGGAUCCAAUUCCCAUACAGAUUAAUUAAAUCUGGUGUAGUGAAGAAUAUUCUAAAGAAGCUCCCAUCUAAGGUGGUAUAUUCGAGAGAGCCAAUGAUCUAC
rnacentral:lncRNA from 1 species